UGGGGAGUACGGCCGCAAGGUUUAAAACUCAAAGGAAUUGACGGGGACCCGCACAAGCGGUGGAUUAUGUGGAUUAAUUUCGAUGCAACGCGAAAAACCUUACCUACCCUUGACAUGCCAGGAACCUACGCAGAGAUGUGAGGGUGCCCGAAAGGGAACCUGGACACAGGUGCUGCAUGGCUGUCGUCAGCUCGUGUCGUGAGAUGUUGGGUUAAGUCCCGCAACGAGCGCAACCCUUGCCAUUAGUUGCCACAUUCAGUUGGGCACUCUAAUGGGACUGCCGGUGACAAACCGGAGGAAGGUGGGGAUGACGUCAAGUCCUCAGGCCCUUAGGGUAGGGCUUCACAGUAAUACAAGGCCGGUACAGGGGCGGCCAACCGCGAGGGGGGUAAUCCAGAAGCCGGUGUGUCCGGUAGCGGUCUGCGCUACGCUAGCGGAGGCCCCUAAGUG
rnacentral:rRNA from 1 species